UACGGAGGGUGCAGGCGUUAUCCGGAUUCACUGGGUUUAAAGGGUGCGUAGGCGGAUAGGUAAGUCCGUGGUGAAAUCCUGCAGCUUAACUGCAGAACUGCCAUGGAUAUUAUUUACCUUGAAUGUCGUGGAGGUUAGCAGAAUAUGUCAUGUAGCGGUGAAAUGCUUAGAUAUGACAUAGAAUACCCAUUGCGAAGGCAGCUAACUACGCGAUAAUUGACGCUGAUGCACGAAAGCGUGGGGAUCAAACAGG
rnacentral:rRNA from 1 species